rnacentral:misc_RNA from 1 species
GACCCUUUGAAACCUUUCAAAGGAAACUUGCUAAACAAUAGAAGCUAAUUUAGGAGUUAUAAUUUCAAGAAGCCCCUUUGGAUUUUCGACAUGAACCCAAUGACCAGAGUUGGGAAGGAGAUGAUAGGACAUCUUGCCUUCGGAUCCACCAGUUCUGUUGGAAGCAAUGCUUUCGAGUUUCUGGACAGUCUCUGGAUCCCACCUAUCACUUCUCUCAGCACGCACAAUCGCUAUCUCUGUCCCUUUUGGCGGGUGCUCCAGCAAAGGCCAAUAAUCUUUCUCCCUGUAAGAAUCAAACAUCUCUGCAGCAGCUUCAAUGUUAAAGUUCCAUGUCAUGCUAUCCCCUGAUUUCUCAAGAUUGCUGCCCAGCCAUUCUGAUAAUGCCUUGGAAAACCCGAGUUUCAACAAGUGAUCUACCAGCCAUUUUCGAGAGGGGAUUGGUGAAGGUAGGCUCUGCAGUGUCUGCAUAACUUUCUCUACUUCUCUAUUGCUAUCAUCAGGGUUCACCUUUCCAGGGACAGAGUCCAAUACCCAGAGCUGCUUGGGCAAUCGAGCCGAUUGUCCAUAAACACCUCGAGAGCAGCUCUCAACAUACUGCAAGGCGACUUUACCACCCAUGGAAUGCCCUAUAACAACAUCAGGC